GGCUUUCGGGCUGUCGCAGAUGGAUGAGCCUGCGUUGGAUUAGCUAGUUGGUGGGGUAAGGGCCCACCAAGGCUACGAUCCAUAGCUGAUUUGAGAGGAUGAUCAGCCACAUUGGGACUGAGACACGGCCCAAACUCCUACGGGAGGCAGCAGUGGGGAAUAUUGGACAAUGGGGGCAACCCUGAUCCAGCAAUGCCAUGUGUGUGAAGAAGGCCCUAGGGUUGUAAAGCACUUUAGUUGGGGAGGAAAGCCUCAAGGUUAAUAGCCUUGGGGGAGGACGUUACCCAAAGAAUAAGCACCGGCUAACUCCGUGCCAGCAGCCGCGGUAAUACGGGGGGUGCAAGCGUUAAUCGGAAUUACUGGGCGUAAAGGGUCUGUAGGUGGUUUGUUAAGUCAGAUGUGAAAGCCCAGGGCUCAACCUUGGAACUGCAUUUGAUACUGGCAAACUAGAGUACGGUAGAGGAAUGGGGAAUUUCUGGUGUAGCGGUGAAAUGCGUAGAGAUCAGAAGGAACACCAAUGGCGAAGGCAACAUUCUGGACCGAUACUGACACUGAGGGACGAAAGCGUGGGGAUCAAACAGGAUUAGAUACCCUGGUAGUCCACGCUGUAAACGAUGAGUACUAGCUGUUGGAGUCGGUGUAAAGGCUCUAGUGGCGCAGCUAACGCGAUAAG
rnacentral:rRNA from 1 species